CCAAAGGCUCUUUUCAGAGCCCCCCCUACCGUUUCAAAGGAAGAG
rfam:Callithrix jacchus chromosome 4, whole genome shotgun sequence